GUUGAACGCUGGCGGCAGGCUUAACACAUGCAAGUCGAGCGGAGAUGAGGUGCUUGCACCUUAUCUUAGCGGCGGACGGGUGAGUAAUGCUUAGGAAUCUGCCUAUUAGUGGGGGACAACAUUCCGAAAGGAAUGCUAAUACCGCAUACGUCCUACGGGAGAAAGCAGGGGAUCUUCGGACCUUGCGCUAAUAGAUGAGCCUAAGUCGGAUUAGCUAGUUGGUGGGGUAAAGGCCUACCAAGGCGACGAUCUGUAGCGGGUCUGAGAGGAUGAUCCGCCACACUGGGACUGAGACACGGCCCAGACUCCUACGGGAGGCAGCAGUGGGGAAUAUUGGACAAUGGGGGAAACCCUGAUCCAGCCAUGCCGCGUGUGUGAAGAAGGCCUUAUGGUUGUAAAGCACUUUAAGCGAGGAGGAGGCUACUGAGACUAAUACUCUUGGAUAGUGGACGUUACUCGCAGAAUAAGCACCGGCUAACUCUGUGCCAGCAGCCGCAGUAACAC
rnacentral:rRNA from 1 species